UUUAAGGGUUGGCAGUGAAAGUAAGGAUUUCUUGCCAGAGAUCCCUGCAUACCUGAGGCAUUCUGAAGCUCAGUUCUGCGUGUUUACCCCCAGCUGCUUGUUCUUUAGCAAGGAGACUGAUACUAUUUAUGUACUAGAAGCUGGAAGACCCUAACUGAAGAAGGAAGAACCAGUGUGGAUGAACUCUUGCCAGUACUGAGUAUUCCAAUUGCACUACUGGAGCACAGAUUUCCCCAUAAAAUGAGAAGAAAAUGGGAAAAUUAUUGUGUGUGUAGUCAGCCCCUUGGAGAACUGUACGUAUAAUUUUCAGCUCCCCUUUGAAACUCGAGAAGCCUUCAGUAACCUGGUGUCCGAAGAGUGGUACGUGUAUUGCACUGGCUGACUCAGCUGAACCUGGAGAGUGCUGUGGAGCCCAACCAAGCUGGGGCUGCGUCCUGCCUCUCUUCUCUUCAUGUCCUUCUGGUGAUUGUAUGUAAAUAUAACUUGCUGCAGUGUUCAAUAGGCAGUGUCACCUUCAGUUGAGCCCUUAAUGCAGGAUUGACCGCUCCUGAGUAGCAGAACGCGCAGAGUGGCUGCCAGCCGGUCCUCUGUAUCCAUUCGUAGUCUAAUCUCUGUUCUGGACAUAGAAGAAUAUGCGUGAAAUGAAUAUUAUAGUCUAACGUUGGAAGUAAAGGUGCCAUCAAGGGACCAUUCCUGUCAAAGGAAGACUCUUCAUCUUAAUGAUUGCCUAUCUAACGAGUUACGAACCUCUUUAAAGUGAAUCUAAAGAAUUAAGCGCGGUGCAGGACAAAGUCACAGUCUUGUUAAAUAAUAAUUAAAAAAAGGUUAUAAAAGAAUAUGUUAGCACCUGUCAUUUAAAAAAAAUGAUGAAUUCUGAACUUAAGGCUGUCGUGAAUAAGACAGAAAUUCAGCCUUCUGAGAAAUGCUGCAGGGGAUUUCUUUUAAUAAGACCUGGAAAGUAGGCCUUGGGCAUAAGACCACAGUAGAGAGACUUGAAAGCCUCGAGCCAGCCUUCUCUUUCACCAUUGCAAUUUGACCCAGCUAUUGCAUUUAAUCACCACGUAUGAGGUAGCUGCUGCCUCCCAUCCCUCAGGUACCUGUCUGGAAAUUCAGUAAUUUGAGAAGUUUCAGCUCUUUCCCAUCAUAGCUGGGUGGAAAAUUUCAGCUGAAGUCCUUUCUCAAACUUUUGAAAUGAAAAUAAGACACUUAAAUGGGAACCUCCCUUCCCAGUUGUGCGUUGAUGGCAUUUGAAAGGGAAGCAGGUUUCAGUGCAGUGAGAUGCCUGAGGGAAGGCAGGUAACAUCUGAUUUGCAGUGAACCCAGACAUGCAGGAAUCUGAUACCUUCCUCUCGCAACAAAACUGAGGAAGUUUCAUGCCAGUGGGAGCUGGAAGUGCUUCGCCUUGUGUGAACAGUUUCAUCAGUUACGCCUGCACAGAGCACUGCAGGAAGGGGCCUGGUGGUUACAGUGGGGCUGAAGAUGAAACUACAGUGUGGUCCAUAGCAAAUAAGGCAAACCACAUACCAAGGUGCACUGGGAGGGGUGAAGUCAGCAGAUAAGAAGACAGUUAUGUCCAUUCUGGCUUUGUUCUUGUUCUGGGAGAAUCAGUGUUGCUGUAAUGACUUUUUUGUUUUGAGUACAAAUGUGUGUAUUAUAUCUGAUUCUGGGUGUGUUUACCUGCAUUAGCUCACCUGCAGUACUUAGCUGGAGCUAAAUACCUGAGUUAGAGAACACUUCAGCUUUGCUUGAAUGAGAUGUAUGGAUUAUUGAAGAAUGGGCUUCCAAAGCACAUGCCAGCCACCUUCAGUAUUCUGCCAUACUGAUGAAGAAAAGCCUGGAUCAACGCUUGUCAAGAUAGCAGCGGUAGCAGAGGAGUGUUGGAGCUGAUCCUCCUUUGGAUUAGGGAAAUUGUAAAGCCGAUCUCCGUGGGUACCUUGCUGUUUUCUGUUCAAGGGAUUUCUGAGCCCUCAGUAAAACGUAGCAAUGAUAUUUCGAACUGCUUUUCUGUCUGCCAUCAGUUCUAGUGCUGAGGCCCUUCCAAGUACUGAAGAAUGGCGAUGUGACCUGCUGUAGUUUUUUGUGGAAUUGACUGAACUGAGUCACCCAGCUAUUUGGGAGUUAGAACUGUGACCAACAGGUGUACCAUUGGCUUUGAUGUGCUCUUGGUUGUUUAAAAUGGGAUCCUCUGAAAAAAGUUGCAGGUUCUUUUACCUCCUACAAAACUCUUACUAACAGGAAUAACUUUUGAGUACACAGUUUGUUUUGAGAGUCAAUAAUGUCACCCUGCAUGUUGUUCUCAAGCAAGCAGAAGACAUGUGAAAAUAUUAAAUUUCAGAUUGUAUAAGCACCCCCUGCCUAAAGUAUUACAGAAAAUUAAAAAAAAAGAAAACCCAAAACAUUGUAUGUUGCAUUACUGUCUUGAUUUCAGGCUCUGGAAAAUUAUAAGACUUGCAACUGCAGAAAAUGUGCAGCCCUGCAGACAAUCUUGAUGUAUUAAAAAGUUCAUGGAUACAGACAGGCUCUGCGUGAGCCUUCAAAACAAAACCAAAGGACUUGAGUCCAGGUUUGGCUGGGUAACUGGUUAAUCACCAUUGGGAAAUCAUUGCUUAAUUCCAGUAUGCAGGGUAGUACUUCAGAAGGUAGAAACGUGUUCAAAGGGGGAUUUCUUUCUUUGUUUGCAGUUCCGUUAUGGGGCAAUGCAUUCAGAAAGCAAUCCUGACAUUCUUUUUUUUUUUUUUUCAUUCUGGGUUUUGUCCUUUGUCCAUGAUGAU